rnacentral:rRNA from 1 species
UACGGAGGGAGCUAGCGUUGUUCGGAAUUACUGGGCGUAAAGCGCACGUAGGCGGCUUUGUAAGUUAGAGGUGAAAGCCCGGGGCUCAACUCCGGAACUGCCUUUAAGACUGCAUCGCUUGAAUCCAGGAGAGGUGAGUGGAAUUCCGAGUGUAGAGGUGAAAUUCGUAGAUAUUCGGAGGAACACCAGUGGCGAAGGCGGCUCACUGGUCCGGUACUGACGCGUGA